UCCUGCCACCUCGAGAAGACGCGCCUGCUUUCGCUUCUGCUAUGAUUACAUAAAUUUUCUGAGGCCUCCCCAGCCACACAGAACUAAAGAGCUCCUGCGAGAUUCUGCUCCUUCCCAUGCAGAGCAGAAGUGUCCUGAGGAUGGAGCAGAGAAAUGGCCCUGACCACAAAUACAGCAAGAUGCAUUCUACCAAGUUUCCUAAAGUAAGGUGAGAUGAUGAACCUUCCUACUUUGUACCAGGCCCUGUUACCACAUCAAUAAUCGAAGAGAGGAUGCCAGCCCAGGGCCCCAGGCAGCAGGAGAACUUUCAGAAAUGUUGUUAUUCUCCAGAUUGGAUUAAAACAAAAAAUUCUAAAGAAAAGGAAAACAUUCCUUCUACAAAUUAUUUGCUGCCACUAUUGAAAUCUGUCUGCCCUCAAAAGGCCUACAAUGGGAACAUUGUAAUAAGCAUUUGGGUAUAGUAAAUGAGUUAAGAAAUUUAA